rnacentral:pre_miRNA from 1 species
AUAGCUGUUGUGUCACUUCCUCAUGCUGACAUAUUUACUAGAGGGUAAAAUUAAUAACCUUCUAGUAAGAGUGGCAGUCGAAGGGAAGGGCUCAUCUGACUUCUGGAAGCCU